rnacentral:rRNA from 1 species
AUUGAACGCUGGCGGCAGGCCUAACACAUGCAAGUCGAACGAGUGGCGGACGGGUGAGUAAUGUCUGGGAAACUGCCCGAUGGAGGGGGAUAACUACUGGAAACGGUAGCUAAUACCGCAUACCAUCGGAUGUGCCCAGAUGGGAUUAGCUAGGAGGUGGGGUAAAGGCUCACCUGGGCGACGAUCCCUAGCUGGUCUGAGAGGGUGACAAGCCACACGGGAACUGAGACAAGGUCCAGACUCUGACGGGAGUCAGCAGUGGGGAAUAUUGCACAAUGGGCGCAAGCCUGAUGCAGCCAUGCCGCGUGUAUGAAGAAGGCCUUCGGGUUGUAAAGUACUUUCAGCGAGGAGGCGUUACUCGCAGAAGAAGCAACGGCUAACUCCGUGCCAGCAGCCGCGGUAAUUC